AGGACGAACGCUGGCGGCGCGCCUAACACAUGCAAGUCGAGCGAGAACCAGGGCUUGCCCUGGGGAAAGCGGCGAACGGGUGCGUAACACGUGAGCAACCUGCCCCAAAGACCGGGACAACCCGAGGAAACUCGGACUAAUACCGGAUGCCCUCACCGGGCCGCAUGGUCUGGUGAGGAAAUGGAUUCCGCUUUGGGAUGGGCUCGCGGUCUAUCAGCUUGUUGGUGGGGUAACGGCCUACCAAGGCGACGACGGAUAGCUGGUCUGAGAGGACGAUCAGCCACACUGGGACUGAGACACGGCCCAGACUCCUACGGGAGGCAGCAGUGGGGAAUCUUGCGCAAUGGGCGAAAGCCUGACGCAGCGACGCCGCGUGGGGGAUGAAGGCCUUCGGGUUGUAACCCCUUCAGCAGGGACGAAGCGAAGUGACGGUACCUGCAGAAGAAGCGCCGGCUAACUACGCGCCAGCAGCCGCGGUA
rnacentral:rRNA from 1 species